rnacentral:lncRNA from 1 species
UACAAUGGGAAGAUGGGGGAGGCAGCACACUGGGGUCAGGAGUGGAGAUACUUAGGCUCCCCAGAGAAAUUAGUCACAAGUCUUAUCCCUUCAUCUCCAUUUACAGCCAUUUAUUUGGGAGCAACAUACUUUAAAUGAGUGAUAAACAAAAUGUCUCCCCACAGCCCCCACCCCAGCAUGUGUUCUGAAGUUCACAGGAAGGCUUCUCCUCAUUUGCUUUGGGGCCCGCAGGCUGCCUGCUAACAGCUGGGUCUUCCCAUGAACAAAUUAGACAGUUAAUGUUCCAGGAUGAAGAGGGCUUCGGGGAACAGAAUCUGCCGUUUAUUUGACUUGCUUCAUUAGACACAGUGCCAUCAUACCAAAAUUAGAAAAAAGAAGGAACUCAGCGGAAAUCAGCUACACAAGAAGAACCUCUCAGUUCUGAGAAUUCACAUUAACCAGUGAUUAAGAAAUAUUAAAAAGGUAUAGUUCUUGGCUGUGCUGAGGAUCUGUAAGGCACCAGAUGUGAAAGUAAGGAAGAAAGAUGGAUGUGGAAGAAAGUCACUGCCCAGAGAAUAAGGAGACCUGGAUUCUAAUCUCAGCUCUGCCAUUAACUAGCUGUGAGACUCAAGAAUAACUAAUCAUUUUGAUAACUCGUUUUUUUACUUUUUAAAAUGAGGAGCCAAGUUUAGACAAUGAGCUCGGCUCUUCACCAGUGAUAAAGUGUCUGGGACAUGCUUCCAUUCAAGCAAUGCUCUUCCUUCUUGUCUAUACUUUAUCCAAGAAAGAAUAAAUCAUUUCCAAAUAUUUUCAAAGAUGAAACUAUGGCUCAAAAGGGAAUAAGAGAUCAAGGCAAGCAUGGACAUCUUGUACGUGGAAGUGCAGACCAGAACUUGUAUCACAGCCAGUCAUAUCUGGUGCUUUCCAUGCUACUUUUACAUACAUGUAUCCUUAAAUUUGAUCCUCUUCUA